ACUGAUAAAUGAAUCGAUGGUGCGUUGCUAACUCAACGCUUAAAAUAGGAAUCCGGUCCCAAGCCGGAGCUGCCCCCGCAACUGUAGGUGGUAAGUCAUAGGAUCAGCGCGUCACUGGUUAAAACCGGGAAGACGAUCUUAAUGAUGAUGACCCACAAGCCAGGAGACUUGCCGUCGGGAUUCAACACAU
rnacentral:ncRNA from 2 species